rnacentral:rRNA from 1 species
UACGUAGGGUGCAAGCGUUGUCCGGAAUUAUUGGGCGUAAAGAGCUCGUAGGCGGUCUGUCGCGUCUGCUGUGAAAACUCGGGGCUUAACCCCGGGCCUGCAGUGGGUACGGGCAGACUAGAGUGCGGUAGGGGAGACUGGAAUUCCUGGUGUAGCGGUGAAAUGCGCAGAUAUCAGGAGGAACACCGGUGGCGAAGGCGGGUCUCUGGGCCGUAACUGACGCUGAGGAGCGAAAGCUGGGGGAGCGAACGGG